AGAGUUUGAUCCUGGCUCAGAACGAACGCUGGCGGCAGGCUUAACACAUGCAAGUCGAACGCCCCGCAAGGGGAGUGGCAGACGGGUGAGUAACGCGUGGGAACAUACCCUUUCCUGCGGAAUAGCUCCGGGAAACUGGAAUUAAUACCGCAUACGCCCUACGGGGGAAAGAUUUAUCGGGGAAGGAUUGGCCCGCGUUGGAUUAGCUAGUUGGUGGGGUAAAGGCCUACCAAGGCGACGAUCCAUAGCUGGUCUGAGAGGAUGAUCAGCCACAUUGGGACUGAGACACGGCCCAAACUCCUACGGGAGGCAGCAGUGGGGAAUAUUGGACAAUGGGCGCAAGCCUGAUCCAGCCAUGCCGCGUGAGUGAUGAAGGCCUUAGGGUUGUAAAGCUCUUUCACCGGAGAAGAUAAUGACGGUAUCCGGAGAAGAAGCCCCGGCUAACUUCGUGCCAGCAGCCGCGGUAAUACGAAGGGGGCUAGCGUUGUUCGGAAUUACUGGGCGUAAAGCGCACGUAGGCGGAUAUUUAAGUCAGGGGUGAAAUCCCAGAGCUCAACUCUGGAACUGCCUUUGAUACUGGGUAUCUUGAGUAUGGAAGAGGUAAGUGGAAUUCCGAGUGUAGAGGUGAAAUUCGUAGAUAUUCGGAGGAACACCAGUGGCGAAGGCGGCUUACUGGUCCAUUACUGACGCUGAGGUGCGA
rnacentral:rRNA from 1 species